rnacentral:rRNA from 1 species
CCUACGAGUGGCAGCAGUGAGUAAUAUUGGUCAAUGGACGAGAGUCUGAACCCGCCAAGUAGCGUGAAGGCUGACUGCCCUAUGGGUUGUAAACUUCUUUUAUAAAGGAAUAAAACGAGUCACGUGUGCCUUUUUGCAUGUACUUUAUGAAUAAGGAUCGGCUAACUACGUGCCAGCAGCCGCGGUAAUACGGAGGAUCCGAGCGUUAUCCGUUUUUAUGUGGUUUAAAGGGAGCGUAGAUGGGUGGUUAAGUCAGUUGUGAAAGUUUGCGGCUCAACCGUAAAAUUGCAAUUGAUACUGGCAGUCUUGAGUACAGUUGAGGUAGGCGGAAUUCGUGGUGUAGCGGUGAAAUGCUUAGAUAUCACGAAGAACCCCGAUUGCGAAGGCAGCUUACUAAACUGUGACUGACAUUGAUGCUCGAAAGUGUGGGUAUCAAACAGGAUUAGAUACCCCAGUAGUC